UCAGCCGGCUGGACGGCCGCUGCCGUCUCACGACGGUGGAGGAAAGUCCGGGCUCCAUGGAGACAGGGUGGCGGCUAACGGCCGCCGGGGGCGACCCCAGGGACAGUGCCACAGAAAACAAACCGCCCGGCGGGCUUCGGCCCGGCGUGGUAAGGGUGAAACGGUGCGGUAAGAGCGCACCGCGCGACUGGUAACAGGAGCGGCACGGCAAACCCCACCCGGAGCAAGACCAAAUAGGGGUGGCCGCGUGCGGGGAAACCCGGCACGGAGGCGCGUCUUCAGGCCCGUCACCCGGGUUGGUUGCUCGAGGCGCCCAGCAAUGGGCGUCCCAGAUGAAUGGCCGUUCUCGACAGAACCCGGCUUACAGGCCGGCUGGCAUU
rnacentral:RNase_P_RNA from 1 species